GCCGCGUGAGUGAAGAAGGCCUUUGGGUUGUAAAGCUCUUUUGUAGGGGAAGAUGAUGACGGUACCCGUACAAUAUGGUCCGGCUUACUAUGUGCCAGCAGCCGCGG
rnacentral:rRNA from 1 species